CUUUUAUAUACCCUAAAAUACAUACAUUGUCAAGAAAAAAAGUCAAAAGCGUAAAAAGAAAUGAACAUUGAAGAUCGAGUUUUUGCAGAAAUAUGGAGAAAGUUAUGUACGUCAUGAUCAGUCUAUUUUUUCUGUAAAAUUAAUAUGCAAAGAAGAACAAUACCACUAAUUUCACAUUUUACUCUUUCAUUGUAAUUUAAAAAAAGAAUUAUAAUUGGUCUCUUUCCACCCCAUGAUCUCUCUGAACAAAGCUGAUUCGCGUAUAAAUGCGCUAUCAAUAGCUUCGCAUGGGUACUCAUUAUUGUCAUGUCAUAUUUAUAACCAACUGCCUUUGGCGACCCGUUAUAAUCUAUGUGUCGCAAUCAGAGGCUCCAAAAAAUGAAAGAUAAACAAUAUUCAUGUAAGACCGAUUAUGAUUUAUCGAUUUUAUGGUUAAAUCUCGUUUUUUCAUUUUGUCUCUCUGUAAUAGUUCUGCAUAAUUGUCAUUUCUACAUACAGUAAUUGAAACAAUAUAAUUAGCAUGAAUUCU
rnacentral:misc_RNA from 1 species